rnacentral:rRNA from 1 species
UAAGUAGGCAGUGGAAAAUGAACCAAAUGGGAUUUCUUGAGUAAUUGCGAAUGAACAAGGAAAUGCUCACCUUUGAAAAUUGGGUACUGUGUGCCUUGAUUUGUAUUUUUGGAAUGCGUUGCCAAUGGGUGUGCGGGUGUCAGCCUAUUGAAAGAAAGCGCCAGUGUAGGUGACAUUCCUUUUGUCAUCUGUAAUAUUCCAUGCACGGUGUGCAUUUACUGAGUCACCUUCCUUGGCAUUGGAAUGAUAAUUUGAUGGUAAAUUUCAUUUAAAGGAAAACAUAUCAUUGAGACUGAUAGCAAACAAGUACCAUGAGGGAGAUAUGAAAAGGACUUUGAAAAGAGAAUUAAAAGAGCUUGAACUUGUUAAGCAGAAAGCAAACAGACAUGUGUGCAAUGGUGGGAUUGUUGUGCACAUGUCUGCCAAUUGUGUGGGCAUAUGUGCAAUGGUACUUGCCUUGAAUACCAGCUCCUUACUUGAAAUUAUUAUUUGUGCGUGUGAAUGAAAAUGUGCUUUUGGGUGUUGCGAUAUAUGGAAUUGAAAUGAUAUUGGGUUGUGUGUGGCGUAUGGUUUGGUUGCGUGCCCAUGGGUAGGAAGGGUGUCCUUCCUGGUUGUGUGAUAAGCCUUGGUGU